GACGGGACCCGCACAAGCGGUGGAUGAUGUGGUUUAAUUCGAUGCAACGACGAAAACCUUACCCACCUUUGACAUGUACGGAACCUUAGAGAUAGAGGGGUGCUCGAAAGAGAGCCGUAACACAGGUGCUGCAUGGCUGUCGUCAGCUCGUGUCGUGAGAUGUUGGGUUAAGUCCCGCAACGAGCGCAACCCUUGUCAUUAGUUGCUACAUUCAGUUGGGCACUCUAAUGAGACUGCCGGUGACAAGCCGGAGGAAGGUGGGGAUGACGUCAAGUCCUCAUGGCCCUUAUAGGUGGGGCUACACACGUCAUACAAUGGCUGGUACAAAGGGUUGCCAACCCGCGAGGGGGAGCCAAUCCCAUAAAGCCAGUCGUAGUCCGGAUCGUAGUCUGCAACUCGACUACGUGAAGUCGGAAUCGCUAGUAAUCGUGGAUCAGAAUGUCACGGUGAAUACGUUCCCGGGUCUU
rnacentral:rRNA from 1 species